CUCGGCCUCAGAUCAGACAAGGCUACCCGCUGAAUUUAAGCAUAUUAAUAAGCGGAGGAAAAGAAACUAACAAGGAUUCCCCCAGUAACGGCGAGUGAAGCGGGAUCAGCUCAAAUUUAAAAUCUCCGUUGCUUGCAACGGCGAAUUGUAGUUUCGAGAAGCGCUUUCUAGGCGGACCGGCUGCGCCUAAGUUGCUUGGAACAGCACGUCAUAGAGGGUGACAACCCCGUCUGUGGCGUAGGCGGCCGCUCACGAUGUGCUUUCGAAGAGUCGGGUUGUUUGGGAAUGCAGCCCAAAAUGGGUGGUAAACUCCAUCUAAAGCUAAAUAUUGGCACGAGACCGAUAGCGAACAAGUACCGUGAGGGAAAGAUGAAAAGGACUUUGGAAAGAGAGUUAAAAAGUACGUGAAACCGUUAAAAGGGAAACGAAUGGAGCUAGCAAUGCACCCAGCGAGAUUCAGCUGGUUGGUGGAUCGGCCGCGAUGUGUGCAGAUCUGAAUUGACUGCGGCUUCGUGGUUCGAGCUCCCUGCCAUCGCACUUCUCGCGGGCGCGCGUCAACAUGGGUUGGGACCGGGUCUAAACGGCACCGGCAAGGUAAGUCCGCACCUCCGGGUACGUACUGUUCUAGGCCGGCGCUCUCGCGGCCCGGACCCGACCGAGGCGAUGCAGCACAUGCCUCUUGUGGCUGGGGUCCCGUUCUUCCGGUUGGUUGUCGACUGUGGUGGACUGCGUGCAGUGCACCGCGACUGCUGCCGGUCGCUUGGGCGGUGACUUCGCAUGAUGUGCUUAGGAUGUUGGCGGUCAUAUGGCUUCAUCCGACCCGUCUUGAAACACGGACCAAGGAGUCUACCAUAUGCGCGAGUCUUUGGGUGAUUGAAACCCGCGGGCACAAUGAAAGUGAAGGCGGCUCCGGCCUGCCGAGGUGAGAACCUCCCCUCUCGGGGUGGCGCAUCAUCGACCGACCUAUUCUACUCUUAGGAAGGUUUGAGUAAGAGCGCAUUUGUUGGGACCCGAAAGAUGGUGAACUAUGCCUGAAUAGGGUGAAGCCAGAGGAAACUCUGGUGGAGGCUCGUAGCGAUUCUGACGUGCAAAUCGAUCGUCAAAUUUGGGUAUAGGGGCGAAAGACUAAUCGAACUGUCUAGUAGCUGGUUCCCUCCGAAGUUUCCCUCAGGAUAGCAGGAGCUCUGUGCAGUUUUAUCAGGUAAAGCGAAUGAUUAGAGGUCUUAGGGUUAAAACAACCUUAACCUAUUCUCAAACUUUAAAUUGGUAAGAAGUCCGACUUGCUCGAUUGAAGCCGGACGUGGAAUGCGAGUUCCUAGUGGGCCAUUUUUGGUAAGCAGAACUGGCGAUGCGGGAUGAACCGAACGCCGAGUUAAGGUGCCAAAGUCGACGCUCAUCAGACCCCACAAAAGGUGUUGGUUGCUAUAGACAGCAGGACGGUGGCCAUGGAAGUCGGAAUCCGCUAAGGAGUGUGUAACAACUCACCUGCCGAAGCAACUAGCCCUGAAAAUGGAUGGCGCUCAAGCGUCGCACCUAUACUCGGCCGUCGGGGCAAACGCGAAGCCCCGACGAG
rnacentral:rRNA from 1 species